rnacentral:rRNA from 1 species
CCUACGGGCGGCAGCAGUGGGGAAUAUUGGACAAUGGGGGCAACCCUGAUCCAGCCAUGCCGCGUGUGUGAAGAAGGCCCUCGGGUUGUAAAGCACUUUCAGUGAGGAAGAACGCCUGGUGGUUAAUACCCAUCAGGAAAGACAUCACUCACAGAAGAAGCACCGGCUAACUCCGUGCCAGCAGCCGCGGUAAUACGGAGGGUGCGAGCGUUAAUCGGAAUUACUGGGCGUAAAGCGCGCGUAGGUGGCUUGAUAAGCCGGUUGUGAAAGCCCCGGGCUCAACCUGGGAACGGCAUCCGGAACUGUCAAGCUAGAGUGCAGGAGAGGAAGGUAGAAUUCCCGGUGUAGCAGUGAAAUGCGUAGAGUUCGGGAGGAAUGCCAGUGGCGAAGGCGACCUUCUGGACUGACACUGACACUGUGGUGCGAAAGCGUGGGUAGCAAACAGGAUUAGAUACCCUGGUAGUC